rnacentral:rRNA from 1 species
GACGAGCGCUGGCGGCGUGCUUAACACAUGCAAGUCGAACGGUAAGGCCCUUCGGGGUACACGAGUGGCGAACGGGUGAGUAACACGUGGGUGAUCUGCCCUGCACUUCGGGAUAAGCCUGGGAAACUGGGUCUAAUACCGGAUAGGACCACUGCCUGCAUGGGUGGUGGUGGAAAGCUUUUGCGGUGUGGGAUGGGCCCGCGGCCUAUCAGCUUGUUGGUGGGGUGAUGGCCUACCAAGGCGACGACGGGUAGCCGGCCUGAGAGGGUGACCGGCCACACUGGGGCUGAGAUACGGCCCAGACUCCUACGGGAGGCAGCAGUGGGGAAUACUGCACAAUGGGCGCAAGCCUGAUGCAGCGACGCCGCGUGAGGGAUGACGGCCUUCGGGUUGUAAACCUCUUUCAGCACCGACGAAGCGCAAGUGACGGUAGGUGCAGAAGAAGGACCGGCCAACUACGUGCCAGCCGCCGCCGUAA